AGAGUUUGAUCAUGGCUCAGAACGAACGCUGGCGGCGUGGAUAAGACAUGCAAGUCGAACGAGAUUUUUUCCUGUAGCAAUACAGGGAAAAGUCUAGUGGCGAACGGGUGCGUAACACGUGGGCAAUCUGCCUUAAAGUGGGGGGAUAGCUCGGCGAAAGCCGAAUUAAUACCGCAUGUGAUCAGGGGAGACAUCUUCCCGAAAUCAAAAGUGGCGCAAGCUACUGCUUUUUGAGGAGCCCGCGGCCUAUCAGCUAGUUGGCGAGGUAACGGCUCACCAAGGCUUUGACGGGUAGCUGGUCUGAGAGGACGACCAGUCACACUGGAACUGAGACACGGUCCAGACACCUACGGGUGGCAGCAGUCGAGAAUUUUUCUCAAUGGGGGAAACCCUGAAGGAGCGACGCCGCGUGGAGGAUGAAGGUCUUCGGGUUGUAAACUCCUGUCAUUUGGGAACAAGUGUCGGUACCUAACUGCUACCGGCUUGAUAGUACCAGAAGAGGAAGGGACGGCUAACUCUGUGCCAGCAGCCGCGGUAAUACAGAGGUCUCAAGCGUUGUUCGGAUUCAUUGGGCGUAAAGGGUGUGUAGGUGGCGCCGUAAGUCGGGUGUGAAAUUUCGGAGCUUAACUCCGAAACUGCAUUCGAUACUGCGGUGCUUGAGGACUGGAGAGGAGACUGGAAUUCAUGGUGUAGCAGUGAAAUGCGUAGAGAUCAUGAGGAAGACCAGUGGCGAAGGCGGGUCUCUGGACAGUUCCUGACACUGAGACACGAAGGCCAGGGGAGCAAACGGGAUUAGAUACCCUAGUAGUCC
rnacentral:rRNA from 1 species